ACUUACUAAUUACCUGAUUGUUCGUAACACUCUGUCUGUCCAAUCUGGUUAUGGCUGUAUCACUGCAACUUUUAGUGUUCUCAGUGACAUCAAUGUAUCUUCAGAUAUUCAAUAAUAUCACUCGGCAGUUGUUACUGAUCUAUAGCUAAAGUAUUUGACUCUAUUGAUCAUUCUAUCCUUACCGGUAGUCUGGGCAGCAUUUUGGUCUCUGGUUACAUUGUGGUGUGGUUCUGUAACUAUCUCACGGACAACGUGCAAUGUGUUUACUAAACCUCCUGUCUCAGCCCUUCUUUCCCCCUAAAGGUGUACCCCAAGGGUAGCUCAUAGGCCCCAUGCUAUUUUACACAUUGAUAUUUUUAUUGGUAUUUCUUCUUAGCCCCUGCCCGCUUUCCUCAAAAGGCUCCACCUUUAGCUAGGCCACUAUUAUAAAUGAGAUUUGUUCUCAAUGGCUUACCUGGUUACAUGAAGGUCAAACAAAAAAUAUAUAAUUUGUUUUUUUUAUUCCAAAAGUUACUUAACAUCAGUCUGGAAAUCACUGCUACACUAAACGAUAUACAAUGAUAUACAUAUAUAUGACAGUAAUAUACUGUUGGCUGUGGACACAGUUGUGACCUCACUGAAAAUAUCCAACAGUGACGGCAAGAUUUUCUGUUUGUACACUCAAAGGCAACCACUGGAGGUCAGUAAAAACAAAAUUUUAUUAUUUUGCUAUUUUUUGCGCCAUGGUUAAUGUGUUUACAUAUCAAAGUUGUAACAAGACAUAGAAGGCCCUCUUUUUAAUCAAAUAACAUCAGUAACAACUAACAUGUGACUGAGAAUAAAAGUCCUCACCAACAAGUGCACAAAUUUCGUAGUGUGCGAGUCAAGUGUGUUAUUAGAACUAUAACCUAACGCCGAGGAGUUGUGUGUUUACUGUACCACAAUAUGGAAAUGUGUUAUCCCCAGAAAACACGUUCAUCUUCACAGUGACUAAGCACUGUGAAAAUGUUCUUAUAUAAACCUAAAAUUGUCAAACUCUAAUGUAGACAAUGCUUUCGUGCUGAACUAUUUAUGCAGAGCUGCAGUAUUGGGUUCAGCUUCAUGGCAUACCGGUGGCAUAAGAAAUUAUGCUUGUGAGUUAAAAUUACACCACAAAUCAAGACACAGUACAUGGCUUUAUGAUGCCAGCUGAGAAAAUGAGAUUAUUCUCCUGUCAUUGUCAGUGUCAUGUGGGACUUAAAGAAAUGGUAUCUCAUUAGGAACAAGAACAGCAGGGGCUUAAAACCUGACUUCCUAUCUGUCAUUGAAUAUGACACAGGUACACACACACGCAUGCGCGCACACACAAACACAUAUAUCGUGUUUGCUUUGUUCUCCUCACGUAGCCUGGAAAGCUUGACAACACGUGCUGGAAGUAAAAACAGAAACAUGCUGCAAAGCACCGAUGAAGGACGAUGUUUCACAAUAAUUUUGAGAAUUUGUUUUGUAAGAUUUUUUUUGAAUAAGAUUGUAAGACUAAGUCUAGAAUGUGUUGUCAAAUUUAUGAAGAUGCUUUCUUAAUUUUCCUGUGUUUUAUGAAGUUACAGUGCGAUGAGCUCCUUUAAGCCACCUUAGUUCUCCUCCUCUUUCUCGUCUUCUCCUCUCUGCCACUCAGCAGCCAGUGUUCCAGCAUGUCUGCCUCCGCUUCACUGUGAUGUGAUCAUUUUAGCCCUCCAUGGGACAGGGCCAGACCACGUGGGAGUGCUGCCCGGAUGAGGAGGAAGCCUGCACUCUGAUCUAAGCUCCUCUCUGCUCUCUUCGCUCUGCGCCACCAGCUGCUUGGUGUCUCAGCCCAUUUCCACUUCUGUCACCAGCAAGCAGAGUCAGAGCUUAUGUGCAGUAGCCUACAUGGUUGAUUACAUAAUUCCUCUGAAGAUGACUGUGAUCACAUCAGAGGUCCAGAGUUGUGAAUUAGAAAAAAAUUACAGAGAAAAAUAAUGGCUCUUCAGAUGUUCUUCAGCAGUUGGACCUGGACUGGGUUUCCUUAUGUAUCAUUGCUUAUGUUAUGCAAUCUUUAUACCUGUCUACUGAUUACUUUGCUAACUUUCUUUGUGUGGCCUAUCCUCUUCCAGAUCACCAUGGCGGAAAGGAGGUCACAUGGCACAGGAACCACUUGACAUAAAUAAAGCUGACACAUGGACUAGCUCUCUCUCAAAGGUUUCCCCUUUAUCAAAUGUGGAGUCCAACAACCUGCUUCAUGUAAGAUAAUGAAGUCUGCCAUCACCACAUAUCACAUGUCAAAGAAAAACCAUAUGCACACAGGCAUCCUGACCUGCUCAAGGAAAAGCAAAGGUGUUACUAAUAAUGUUAACUAUGGCUCUCUUCUGUUCAAAUGUCCUAGUAAGCCAUGACAGUGUGACAGAGAGCCAGCAUACACAAUACCAGGACCCUGAUACUGAAGCGGUUAAGUGGAUUCAGCCAUCAUUACACCUGUGCUUUUUCUGCUGUGCUAUGUCAAAAUGUUUCUGUCUGACAAACAACAAACAUGAAGAGUCCACCUUGUGCACUAAAAGGCUACCAAGAUAAUGAGGUGCCACUGUGCAGACAGGUGAUCAGCAGCAACGGCGAAACUUGAUGAUGACACCUAGUGGGCAGGUCAAGCAUGGCAGAGCCUGAAAAUAUCACCUGGUGAUCUGUGCAGCAUUUGGAAAAGGAGGCACAAAAAAAAAAAAGAUUGAUAUCUCUUCUGAAUUGAAUGGACUGAUGUGCUGUCAGACCAGCCUCCACAGAGAGAUAAUAAUGAAAAAAUAUCAUACUCAGUCACUUAGAAUCUCUCUCAAGCACCACCUGAAAAUACCUUCUCUUCAUGCUGCCCUGUGUUUCCUGAAGUCAGUUAAUGAGCUGUAGUUCAUCUGGGAAGUCCCUGCACGACCCUCAAAUAUUAGAUACUUAUCAGCAGAAGUUUAGUACAUCAGCUGAAGCAGUGGUUAUUUCUGCUGAAGAUGGAUUUCCUCUCAGAGAACUGGCCAAGCACAAGGUGAUAAAUCAGCUUGAUGAAUGUGUAGACUGGGUCAGAGUUGAAGUUCUAUUAAUGGCCGGUUAUUCAGGAUGAGCAUAUUUCUUGUAUUACUUCUGUAUUUUAUUAACUUGGUGUGGAUUUUUGACAAAAUUUUUUUGAUUAAUAAUAGAGAUUUUCUUUAGAUGAUGAAAGUCGAGCUCAUUCUUUUAAUAUUGGUGUUGUUCGUGUGAAAUAUUUUCCUUGAACGAAUAUCACCGUCGAGGUGAAACAUUAGAGGAUACUUGAUCCGACCUUGAAAACACUACAGCAAAAUGGUCCUGGAAUGUUAAUCUGGCAAAAACCAAAAAAACAAACUUUAUUUUGUAAAGAAUAUAGUUGAACAGAGGGAUAAGCAAAGGCGAAUAGAUGCAGUAGAAAGGGGCAGAAGGUCAGGAAAAUAAACAUUGCUGUUGUUUGGACUAGUUUGUGUUGUUCUCUCUGUGGGACAUCAGUCCAUUUCCUUAGGGUGUCCUCAGCUAAUGUUUCAUUAAUGCUGUAUGUUUCCUCUUGCUGUAUUUUGAUGCCACAGUGGAAUUGUGACAAUCUCCAUUACGUAUGAGAGCCCCUAUCUUGCACAGCUGUCCUCUUCUCAGCAAUCGCCUUCAAUCAGCCGUUCGCUUUGAUUUAUCACUUCCUGUUGUCCUUGGGAUUGCUACAUUUCACUACACCGUCUCUUUAGCUACAGUUUGAAACUCCAGCUCUUCUGAUGCUUGGGAGCGCUGACCGCAAGGCCUAGCUGUGGGGUCUAAAAUAGUUUGGAGUCAGAGGAUGAGAUAAAAGGGAUGUCAUAAUGGAAAACAAAAUGACUUGGCUGGUUGUGGGCAGGUUGUACGCUUGUGAGAACUUACCAUCAUCAUCAUCGUGAUGGCUUUGUGACUUCUGGUCCCACAGGGAGUGAAGGGUGGGAGCAACACUUGAGUAAUUAUUCUCCAGUUGUGCAUCUGCAUUGGCAUGAUUAAAAUAGCACUUAGUCUUUGUGACUAAACAACCAAAUCUCUAUUGGGUGAUUGUCUGAUGGAUUGAGCGUCAGGCCUCAUUAGGAUGCAUUCAGUUCAGGGUCACUGAGUCUGGGGCAAGGAAACAAUCCACCACCCUUCCCACAUAUUCCUCCACUUCCUGUCCCAAAUGGCUCUUCCCCAUCCCCGAGAAAAGUGAUAAUUUCUCAUUUCACUGUCUUCACUUUUAACUGAGAAUCUGUAUGAAGAAAGAAAGAAAUUAGAGCUUUUCAGAGUUGGACACAAACCGCAAAAAAACUUUGCAUCAGUUAACAAUGGUGAACUUGACCGUUUCACUUAAACGUUUACGUAUCAUUAACAUUUACAGAAUUGAUCAUCACUCAGGGAAAUACCAGACUCUUUACUUACUAAAACCUCAACUAUAUUAACCACUUUUUCAAAUAUCUUUAGUACUGGGCA